UUUCCGUAGGUGAACCUGCGGAAGGAUCAUUAUUGUAUAACCGAGGUGCGAGGGCUGUCGCUGUCCCGAAAGGUCGUGCACGCCCGAGUGCCCUCACACACAUCCAUCUCACCCCUAUGUGCACCACCGCGUGGGUCCCCCUUUGGCUUGUUCGGAGGGGGGCUUACGUUUUCACACAAACUCUGUAUGCAGUGUAGAAUGUAUUUUUUGUUUUUGCGAUCACGCAAUCAAUACAACUUUCAACAACGGAUCUCUUGGCUCUC
rnacentral:misc_RNA from 1 species